rnacentral:rRNA from 1 species
AUACGGAGGGUGCGAAGCGUUGUUCGGAAUUAUUGGGCGUAAAGCGCGUGUAGGCGGUCUUUUAAGUCUGAUGUGAAAGCCCCGGGCUCAACCCGGGAAGUGCAUUGGAAACUGGGAGACUUGAAUACGGGAGAGGGUAGUGGAAUUCCUAGUGUAGGAGUGAAAUCCGUAGAUAUUAGGAGGAACACCGGUGGCGAAGGCGGCUACCUGGACCGAUAUUGACGCUGAGACGCGAAAGCGUGGGGAGC